rnacentral:rRNA from 1 species
AGCUGCAUCGCAGGGUAGCUAUGUUUGGAAGAGAUAAGCACUGAAAGCAUCUAAGUACGAAGCUCGUCUCAAGAUGAGAUCUCCCUUAAGGGUCGUUGAAGACUACGACGUUGAUAGGCUGCAGGUGUAAAGACGGUACCGUCAAAGCUGAGCAGUACUAAUUACCCGUGAGCUUUCUGAGU